AAGAAUUGCUGUAAAAGCGCCUUAAAAACCCAAUAUUUUGCUCGAUUGAUUACAAUGGACUUUUUUUACCCCAAAAAUGAAUGAUUUAAAGAAAUGUGUAAAAAUGUGUAUUUCCAAGGAACAAGAUGAAGGGUGAGAAGGUAAAGUAAGGUACCAAAGAGAGACUUAGAAAGCAAAUGUAAAGAAAGUCUAAGAGGGCGAAAGGAAAUAAAGGAAACAGAGAGCAGAGGAGUCAAUAAAUGUGUUUAAAAGGACAAGGAAAAUUGAAAGGAAAAAAAAGAGACCAAAAUUGCCAACAUUUUCCUUCAAAAUGUAAAGAUUUCAAAUGUGUUACAUUUGGCUUCCAAAAGUGACCACAAUGGUUUCUUGGUCUAAUAUGGAUGUUACAUGACUCUCUACAAAUGGAUCAAAAGCGAUGAUGUCUUUAGGAAAAGGUCAAUAUGAUUCCCAAAUCUUACUCGAUUCAUCAUAACUGGAUUAAAUCUGUGGAUUUGGCAAAAAGUUGAAGAUCAAUUUCAAUGUGGAUCAAGUAAACAAUUGUCACAAUUGUCAACUAAGUUGCUUAUGAUGGACCUGAGACUUGGAAAAUGUCUAAUAAUUUGGGAUAAAAGGACUAUUCAUUGAUCUCUGAUUUGGGUUUUGUGGCUGUCAAGUAAUUCCUUUGUACCCAAAAAAUGGCAAACAAUUCCGAUCGCUUCAAAUCGCUAGCCAGCUCAUAUUUGAUCCUUUUUCACUGUUAUUUCUGGUUUUGAAGCAUUGUGACUGCAUAUUGUUCAAAGUAUAUGAUAUCCAGAUAUCUCUUGUAUUAGAGUCUAUCAAUUUACAUGGAAUAAUUCGGUUCUUUACCAAAUUUCUGGUUUUCCCCGUUUGCUCAGUCAUAUUUGGGUGCCUUUCAGCGUAAACAUUUUAAAUUCAAUUUGCUUGUGUCAGUUACACAAAACAGUGAAUUUUAUUGCCUUUUUAAAAGUUAAAUCUUGUGAUUAUAAAUUUGUAAAUGUAAAUAUAAAACGUUUGCUGUUGAAUCUACCAUUGAACAUAAACAAAAAGACCAAAAUCUUGGAUUACAAGCAAGUUUGCAAACAAUAUGCUGUAAAGGUGAACUUUUGUAGAGGUUCCUUGUAAAGGCCAACUUGUAAGGUUAAAGUAAAACAAGCUUCAAUGUUGAUACCAGAAAAUGUUUAACCAAAUAAACAAAAGAUCAAUGUAUCAACGUUAACCAAGGAAGAAUGAAAAUUGCUAAUCUUAAUUUGUCAAUAUCAGUUAACAAACAUGUCUGGCGUGUUUAUGAAUAAUCAUUCAGCUAAAAAGAAUCCUAUUUUCAACUCUAUUUUCAACUUGUUCAUCUAAUGUUGGCUAAAUGUAUCGAUUUACAUUUUAUUGUAAGAAAUAAUGAGCAAAAAAUGUUUUCUUUAAAAUAAUUUGGGAAAAAAAUGUUUUGCUUGAAUCUUGCGAUUCAACAAAUGAUUAUAUUUGUAUAAUAUCAGACGGAUUAUUUUGAUAACAAUGAAAUUUCCAAAU